UGGUAACAUACGCAUACGCUUCACACCAAUAUAUUCUCCUCCACUUUCCCACGGCAGACUUCUCAACUUCUUCUGUAGGUUUCCCAUGUAUUGCUACUAUUUUCAAACAAAAAACUGAUAUAAUUUUUUUAGGCUUCCUUUUCUAAAAAAAAAUCUCUUUUCUUCUUUGUGUCCCAACCUUUCUCUUUCGUAUGAUCUUCUCCAUAACUCUUUCUUAUGGAGCUUUUUCACCCUUCCCAUCUGUUACAUCCAUUCAUUUUUCUCCUUCUUCCACUUUGGUUCGAAAAUCAUAAACGCCAUGUCCUUCUGAUUCCUCUCUCCUCCGCGCCAACCACCUCCCCUCCACUGCCCGCCGCUUCUCCAAACAAGAACUCCGAUAAAGCUCUCUUCUAUGGUAUUGACAAUCACCUCCGCAACGCUACUUCUCCGCCUCCGUUCUCCGGCAUCGACGCUUCCAUCGUCGUCUCCGUCCGUCCUGCAUCGGAAGGAUUAUCUUCUGCUUUCACAGCCACGGAGAAUGGUUCCACUUGGAUUGCUAUCGGCGGUCAACUCCCCAGCUACGACUGGAAUCUAAUCCAUUCCGUAUCCGUCCGUUCUCAUCUCGAUGAAAUCAAUUCAAUUUGCAGAGUCUGGCCAGAGAGUGCCGCCGCUGGAACUGAAUCUGUUUCUGUUGCUGUUAAAGAGUUGUUUUGGUUUUGACACAUUUUUCACUACGGAUGUUCGUAGAUUUGGUGAUGGAGGCAUUUUCAUUGGGAAUUUAAGGAGACCAAUUGAUGAAGUCAUUCCAAAGUUGGAGAAGAAACUCUCUGAUGCAGCAGGUAUUGCAGUGACAAUAUAGUUUCCCAUGGUUCUCAUCUCACACUUCGAUUUUGAUUUUUCUUUCACAAAUAAAGGUUUAGUGGCAAAGUAACUUUUAACAAUUAAAAUGUAAAGAUUGGUGCAACGCAUAUGCAACUUUAUGAAUGUAUGAUGUGCACGCAUUGAAGGUACAAAAAUACCCCAACAGGGAAGAGCUUUUUUAAUAUGCUACACAUAGAUUCUCAUGUUUAGAUAUGUAUAUCUUCAUUCAUAUUUUUUCUUGACCUUAACCCUCCUUUUCUACUUGAAGUUUUUGAUUGAGUUUAUGUCUUUCAAAACUAUUUUGGAAUCCACAGCUGAAAAAGAUUAAACUUAUGGGACUUACAUUGUAAGAUUUGAAGUACGAUUUUUUCAGAGCAGGAAUAAUUAAGGGUCACGCUCAUAUAGGAUUCAAGUUGCAUGUCCAGGUGAUGGACAAUACAGGAUCAAAAAGUAUUAUCCUUUUUUACUGUAACAUUGCAAAUUUUGUGGGAAGGAGUGUUCAAGACCUAAUUGAUGCUCAAGGGCAGAUUCAAGUUGCAUGUCCAGGUGAUGGACAAUACAGGAUCAACAAGUAUUAUCCUUUUUGACUGUAACAUUGCAAAUUAUGUGGGAAGGAGUGUUCAAGACCUAAUUGAUGCUCAAGGGCGGGUGAUAUAACUAAACAUGUUUGAUAUAAUCCUUUGAUGAACUUUAACCUAUAAUUUGAUUUUUCUAUCAAAUAUUUGAAACUCAUUUCUAGAGUAAUAUGGAAAUAGUCUUUGGAGGUAUUUUAAACAAAUUUGAUCCUGUAUUAACCUUGCCAUUUCGUGGUAUGAUUUUUGAGCUCUGAUGAUUAUCUGCUUACACUACAGGCCAACAAUUCUCUUGGUUACCCCAAAGAAUUGGGGCUGUUGGUUGGUAAACAGAUGUUGUUUAAAGUUGAGAUCACUGAUUGGAAUUUGGUACACAAUUGGCGAAAUCAUGGUGUCAAGAGGACUUCGGAUGAUGCUGAUCUGAUCAAAAGGUUUAUUGAGAAACAUAAUAUUAAGGAGAUUGCUGAAGAGGAUGAUUCUUGCAAUAACAAUGUUCCGCUGACACAAAUUGGUGAAGCGCGAUUGGAGAGCCGCCUUAUUGAGUUUGGUGAUUCAACCAAAACUGGGAAUGAUCUGGUGGAUAACGAGCAAACACCUGGUAGCAAAUCUGGAGGGAAAAGGUUUGCUGAUGCAGAGGAUUCUGCUAUACUUGGCACCGAAGAGAUUGGAGAUAGAUCAAUUAACAAGCUGCAGAAGAUGAUAUGUGUCAAGGUUGAGAAACUGAACUAAUGGGGAGGAUGAAGUCCAUAAUUUUAAAUUUCUGUUUUGUCUGAUACCAGAUUCUGUGUUGGUUCUGGAUCAAUAUGUUACGUUUAUUUGCUUUAGACUAUUUCCCAUUUUGGUGUAAUGUUUUUUGAACCUUAGGCCCUACUGCCUUUUGUUUGUUGCCCGUUUAUAUUUCUGUCAACUGUUUUGUCUGAAUCAAUCUAAAUAUUUCCUCCUAUUGAUGUUUCAACUGUUUGAGGUUUUACAUUUAUCA